rnacentral:lncRNA from 1 species
UUAACUAGAGGGGAAGCAUUAGAGGCAACAAAUAAAAUCAUAUGUCCAGAAUAAGCAGGGAGCAAGGUGGGAUCAGAAAGGUAUGAACCAAGAACAUGUAUGAAAAUUGGUGGCCCUACCACAUAUAUCUCAUCCGACUACUUUGGAGAAUCCUUUAGCAACGGUUGGUGAAGCUGAUAUAAUGAUAUCGGUCGUGAAGAACAUGC